rnacentral:sRNA from 1 species
UAAGGUUCGAUUCGAGCGAAAGCGAGAGAACGUUGCCACAGGCAACGGCCCGAAGGGUGAGGAGCGAAGCGACGAAUAAUCCUUCCCCCACCACCA